ACGUAGGUGGCGAGCGUUGUUCGGAUUUAUUGGGCGUAAAGGGUCCGCAGGGGGUUUGUUAAGUCUGAUGUGAAAUCCCUGGGCUCAACCCCGGAAUUGCAUUGGAAACUGGCAGACUAGAGUGCUGGAGAGGUAAGCGGAAUUCCAGGUGUAGCGGUGGAAUGCGUAGAUAUCUGGAAGAACACCGAAAGCGAAGGCAGCUUACUGGACAGAUACUGACCCUCAGGGACGAAAGCGUGGGGAGCAAACAG
rnacentral:rRNA from 1 species